rnacentral:rRNA from 1 species
AUUGAACGCUGGCGGCAUGCCUUACACAUGCAAGUCGAACGGUAACGGGUCCUUCGGGAUGCCGACGAGUGGCGAACGGGUGAGUAAUAUAUCGGAACGUGCCCAGUAGUGGGGGAUAACUGCUCGAAAGAGCAGCUAAUACCGCAUACGACCUGAGGGUGAAAGGGGGGGAUCGCAAGACCUCUCGCUAUUGGAGCGGCCGAUAUCAGAUUAGCUGGUUGGGGGGGUAAAGGCCUACCAAGGCAACGAUCUGUAGUUGGUCUGAGAGGACGACCAGCCACACUGGGACUGAGACACGGCCCAGACUCCUACGGGAGGCAGCAGUGGGGAAGUUUGGACAAUGGGCGCAAGCCUGAUCCAGCAGUGCCGCGUGCAGGAAGAAGGCCUUCGGGUUGUAAACUGCUUUUGUCAGGGAAGAAAUCUUCUGGGCUAAUACCCCGGGAGGAUGACGGUACCUGAAGAAUAAGCACCGGCUAACUACGUGCCAGCAGCAGCCGCAG